UCGACAUCACGACUCUCUUGUCAAUGGUUAGCGUUAGCGGUUGCAAUCGCUGUAGCCAACAAGUCAACUAGCAAUGAAUUACAACUUCAAACGAAUAACCGGAUCAAUCAUCUUCCCCUUCAUAUAUCCACUACUAAUAAGUUACUUUUCGCAAAGUCCAGUCCUUACCUAGGCACGACGGCAUGGUUUAUCAGGCCACGUGACAGCCAAGAAACAUUGCUAGUAUCGUGAUCAUUGAUAAUAAUCCAAAGUGAUAUGGCUGAGCUGUAAUUGAGUGAGGGGAGAUGAGGAAGAACUCAUAGGACAUGAGCUGUUUAGGGAACAUAGAGUUAUCCAAAGAUGUGUAAGGAGUGGGUUGGUUUCUUCCCUGGUUACCUCAGUCGCAGGACUGCAUGUUCCUUCGUCUAGGAUCAACAACAUCAAGCAACCACCUACAGCAUCCUAGUAACCGCCUCCACCAUCCCAACAACACCCCAGAAAUCUCCAAGUGGUGCCCCAGAAUCCACCAAUAGGACCAUGUCAGAGGACAAUCAUCACAAAUUCAAUGAAGGCUGGUGGCAGAAGUGACGCAGUAGCUUUCUACUGGGCAGUGUAUUUUUUUUAGUCAAAUUUGUGUGCUUUCAAUGUUGGAUAAUCUGUAAAUGAGGAGAAUUUUGAUUUCAUCAUUGAAGCAGAUGUGUAAGAUUGCUUCAGCCUUUUAGCAGAAGCCUGGAGAUUCUUGGGAUGGUAAAUCAUGUUGUUUGGCUCAGAGUGCUUGGAACUGUGAAGGAAAUGUAAAUUACACAACUUGAAAGUGUCAUAUUUAUUUAGAUUGAUUAAAUGGGAAUGGUUUCAGAUGGAGAGCCAGAGAAAGCCGGGCCUUAAUAGAAGUUCAUUCAUGGGGUAAUUGCUCAUUAGUUUUAAUUUCCAGCCAAUUAGCUGCUUGUGUCAAACAGUGGGAAGAGCCUGUUCUUGCCAUGUGGAUGUCUCCUCCAAUCAGAAACACUGUUUUAAAGCUCCCGGGAUAAAAACGGAGCACAAUGAUUGGCUUAUACAAAGGCUCAAUUAGCUUAUUUAAGUAGUGCUGUUAUUAUCCCUCAUCCAGUUAGCACUAAAUGUAGUUUAAUGUUGGAGUGCAACAGUACUAUUGGCAUCCAUUAAUAAAACCUCAUACUUGAUACAUAUGUCUAUCUCUCUCACUCUCACACAAUCACUCUCACUCACUCACUUCCUCUAGAUUCUCCAUGGAUUUCCUGCAAUGGUUCUACAGCUGGAAAAAUAGACAGGGCACUAUUGUAGCUACUACUA